CCUUUAUAUCCUGGCUCCUCCCUUACCUCUCUGGAAAGUUCCACAAUGCUAUCUAAGAGGCUGUUUACAUACUAUAAUCCUCAGUAAUAUCCUCGAAUAAAUCAUAAUUCUCAACUUUUAGGUUGUGCAUUGUUUUUUUCAGUUGAUAGACUUCUGGAAUAGGCUUUUUUUGUUUUAGCGAUCAUUUCUCUCAAAAGGAAAGCCUCACUACAAGCUCCCUGUAUCAUCUCCUGUACAGAAAAAGGAACUGAGACAAACACAAAGAAGUUAAGAAAUGAGUCAUCCACGAGCACUGAUGUCAGCAAAAUGGCAGAAUGGGCGGCUCCAAACUCCUGUCCCUCUACACAAACACUGACAAACAAGCAGCACCUGUCAGAACCAACUUUGCCAGAACUCUUGAGAAGGGUCAGAAGUUUACGUCAACCAAGCAAAUGCUGAAUUAAGAAAAAGGCCACUUAAAAACGGCUCGACCUGAAUUUAUACCAUUAGUGAAAAAGUUUUAUUCGGGGAUCUUACUGAGGACUAUAUCCUGGGAGAUGGCCUCUCAGAUGCUCCGAGAAACUACUCUGAAGAGAAACUGCAUCCAGACCCCCCGACAAGAUGGUUACUUUGAGACAUUAGUCUGCCAUCUUCUCUGUCUGCUGGCUUUCUGAAUGAAGUUGUACUCCUCACCUCAACACCUCGUCUCCGAUUUAUUGGCCUGCUGUGCAGCCAGCGGAGCGAGCUUGGACCCGGUAACAACUGGACAUUUGUUACAAUCAAUGAACCUACAUUGACACAUCAUAAUCACCCAGAGUCCAGGGUUUACAUCAGAGUUCACUCUUGGUGGUGUACAUUCUAUGGGUUUGGAUAAAUGUAUAUGACAUGUACCUACCAUUACAGUGUCCUACAAGAUUAUUUUCACUGCCCUAAUUAUCUCCUUAGCUCCCAGAAAGACCUACUUUGAAUCGUGGAAAUAAAGUCUCCUGGGAUUAGUUCCUAACCAUUUUCAGCCUUCCAACCCCAUGUGGCUGUGGUCAUGACCUUCUGGUCAUAGCUUAUCAGGGUACCAGAGGUGCCACGGGGCCCAGCAUGCAGCCCCCAGGGCACACUAGAGAGGCUGCUUCCAUUGGGACCAGGAUCCAGUAUUUCACUUAUUCUAGGUUCUUCCUGUCCAAGGCCCAAGUCAACCUCCCAACCAGUGGGAUGUAUAAUUCAGUGCUUCCCAGUCUUAGCAGAAUCCCCCGUGGACAGUCAGAAUCUUGACUGAAAGAAAAGAGCUCCAUGCCCACGGGUCCCAGUCACCACUGCUGCUGAUCUCUUGCAGUGGGCUGUGUGAGCUGCCCUAUUAUCUGUGCUUGGCUGGGAGGAGCAAAGCAAGCAAGCACUUGAGAAAUGUUGACCCCUAGGAAGUCCCAGACUCAAAUCCUCCUUAUCCCCUGGGAGGGGCAAACUGAGUAAAAGAGACAAACCAAUUUAACUAAAGACCAACCAAACAAACAAAAACCAUACUUAGAUAUUCUUGCUCUUCUCAUCAGGAGGGCUGGAUUAAGACAUGAGUUCAAAACAAAAACAAUUUAAAUCAGGAAAUAAGUGUAAGGAGUCGGAAAUUUUCACACGAAGACUGCCACAAUAAUUUUUUGAGAAUCCCUAGUUCUCUCCCCCGCACCGCCCCCCCACAUUGCCAUCUAAUCAACAGUUCUUCUCCCCUUCCUCUCCCCCUCCCUCUUCGUGGCCAGAACCCUCUUACUGUUGUCUGAAACAUGUAUCUAGCCCACUCCCUACAUCUGCCAUAAAGCAUCCUUAAGAACAAAGCAAGUGGGAGAAACAUAUCCUGUGAAACUCACCACUUUGGGCUUCUGUCUCCUCUUUUCCCUUGAGAGCUAGAACAGCCAUCAGCAGCUGCUGCUGGGAACCCAAAGGAUUAGGCUGACGAAUGAGGGGCUGCUGGCUGCUGGCAGGGCCUGGUGGAGGAAAGAACCAUUAGAACCUUUCCCCAUGGUCCCUGCUCCCUGCUCCUGGUCAGCCAGCGUCCUGAGGUCUGAGCCACAGAUCACACUCUUGUGAGCUGUGCUCAGACCCCUCAUCUCAGACUCUUUCCCUCUCCCUGAGUGCUUGUCUCUCUCUUACACAAACAUGCAGUUUCAAGUAAGGAACCCUAUCCAGGAAGGUGGCUCAGACAAAGGAAAGAAGUGUCUGGAGAUCUAAGUUCGAAUUAACUUUGCCCCGGGGGCUAAAGUGCAGAGCCCCUCAGAUGCAUGAAAUUUGCUCAGAACUAAUUAGACAAAGCAGAUACUAGCAACAUUCCUCCCCUUCUCCUGUGUUUUACAGUGAAGACAUCCCAGAGAAAAAGUCAGGGGCACAUAAUGAGAGUAAAUACGGUAAUCUGGUCACUUGCAAGUUCAAGUACUGGACUUGGGACUUAGUAGUGCCAGAUGGGGGGCACUUACAGCCUCCCUCUGACCUGGACUGAAAUGUGGGUGACAGACAAGAUUGGAUCAGAUCCUGGGAAAUAAUAACCUAUGACUACAGCACAGGGAAGAGGAAGCACUGCCCUGACCAGAGAGGCAGCCUCUCACCCAAGUGAAGUGUUUGUUCACUCCUGUGAAAAGCAAAAGAUUAAGCUAAUGCUCCAGUCUUUAACAAGGCAACUACUUCAGGGAUAUUGAUGUUUUGAUUGAUCCUUUAUCCCUGAUUGUUCAAAGUGGACCUCAAAGGAGAAGUCACAGCAAAGAAGUUACCACCUAACAGGCAUGGUUUUUCUUUCUCUUUUGCUGCUGCCCCCAGUUCCAUGUGAAAGAAGUGUGGGAACACAAAUGUAUCUUAAGUUUGAGGUCAACAUCGUUGUGGGAUGUGUAUGUGUUGGCCUUGCUGCUCUCCACAUUUCUAAGGUGGAAAAAAUCAUGAAGGGAAUCACUUAUACUGAGUCUCAUUCGUAAUGCUUCCUGAUCCUGCACUUGCCUCCUAGAGAAAUAAUCACAGUGGAAACCUCAACCGUAAUGAACCGCCGUGAGUCAUACAUACACUCAGCCCACUCUCUGUUGCAGCUGGAGCCUCCUGACCCAGAAGGUCGGGGACUGUGGGAGCUAGACAGUGGGAGCAUCCCAGCCCUGGUUCCGCUCAGCCUGCUGAAUUAGCGUUGGCAGACCCUGGGACCAUGGCUGAGACAAAGCAGCAUGACAGUCACAGGGUCUCAAGUCCUCAGUGAGGGGUCCCUCCUAGGCCUGCCACACACUGCACAGCCCUGGGGCUGCGCUGGCUUUGCCCCAGUGAGUUUUCUGUCUCCACUUGCCAGGAGAGGCACCUUGUCCCAUAGAACCGAGCCUCUCCUACAGGUGUCAGCACCACCAAGCCCUCCUCCCCACCUCACAGCCCAGCCUGGCUGAGCCUAUGGCCAGAGACUUUGCUUUAAGGCAAGUCCACAUCUGGGGAUGGUCAGGAGUCACCUCUGAGGCCACUGAACCUUGACUCAGUGAGUCACGUGUGGCAGGCACUAUCCCCGCCAUCCCACGGAUGGCUGUGCGACUCUGCUGCUGGGAAGGCCGAUGGUCACCACCGAGAUGGCCAAGGUAAAUGGAUUAUCUCCACUGGGAUGGGUGUUUGGUCUCUAAAGAUAUGGCCAGAGUCUAAAAUAUUCUAAGCAAGGCCCCAGAGGCUACAGCUUAUUGAAUUAGUUGGUUAAUACAAAAGAUUAUUUUCCCAUACAACAAAAGCACUUAUUUAAAAUACAUUUUAGUUAUAUAAUAAACUUAGUCUAAACAACAGGUUCGCAAACUACGGCUCAGAAGCCAAAUGUGAGCCAUUUGGGGUUCUUUUUUUUAUCAUCUUUAUUGGAGUAUAACUGCUGUACGAUGGUGUGUUAGUUUCUGCUGUUUAAC